rnacentral:rRNA from 1 species
UACGUAGGGUGCAGGCGUUAAUCGGAAUUACUGGGCGUAAAGCGUGCGCAGGCGGUUUGCUAAGACAGGUGUGAAAUCCCCGGGCUUAACCUGGGAACUGCGCUUGUAACUGGCAAGCUAGAGUGUGGCAGAGGGGGGUGGAAUUCCAGGUGUAGCAGUGAAAUGCGUAGAGAUCUGGAGGAACACCGAUGGCGAAGGCGGUUCUCUGGGCCUUACCUGACGCUGAGGAGCGAAAGCGUGGGGAGCAAACAGG